AGGCUGGAGUGCAGUGGUGCAAUCACUGCUCAUGGCAGCCUGAAUCUCCUGGGCUGGAGCAGUCCUCCUGCCUCAGUCCUCCGGGAGCUGGGACUAUAGGCCGCACUACCACACCCAGGGUCUUGCUCUUGCCUGGGGCUGGAGUGCAGGGUGAAGUCACACCUCAUUGCAGCCUCAACCUCCCAGACUCAAGCAAUCCUCCCACCUCAGCAGGCAUAUAUAAAUGGAAUCAUCGAAAUUUAAAAUUUGCACUUCAAAGAACACCAUCAAGAAAGUGAAGACAACCCAGAGAAUGGGAGAAAAUAUUUGCAAUCAUAUAUCUGAUAAAGGACAUGUAUACAGAAUUUUGUAAAACUAUUACAACUGAAUAAUAAGAACAAAUAACACAAUGAAAAAAAUAGGCAAAGUAUUUGGUUAGAUAGUUCUCCAAAGAAGAUAUAUAAUGGCCAAUAAACACAUGAAAAGAUGCCGAACAUCAUUAGCCAUCAGGGAAAUGCAAAUCAAAACGACAGUAAGAUACCACUUCCCACCUACUAGCUUGACCGUAAUCCAGAAGACAGAUUACAAGUAUUGGAAAGGAUGUGAAGAAAUUACAACUUUCAUAACUUGCUGGCAGGAAUGUAAAAUGGUGCAACCAUUUUGGAAAACAGUCUGGCAGUUUCUUCAGUCAGUAAAACAUACCAUAUGACCCAGCAAUUCCACCCCUAGUUGUAUACUUAAGAGAAAUGAAAAUGUGUGCACCAAGAACUUGUAUAUGAAUGUUCAUAGCUGCAAAAUCCAUAACAGUCAUUAUGUGGAAACAACCUAAAUGUCUAUCAGCUGAUGUAUGAAUAAACAAAACAUGCUAUGUUCAUACAAUGGAAUAUUGUUUGGCCAUAGUAAGAAAUGGUACCAAUACAUGCUACAAUGUGAAUGAACCUUAAAAACAUGCUAAGUGAAAGAAGUCAGUCACAGAAAACCACAUAUAAUAUGAUUCUAUUGAUAUGAAAUAUCCAGAAUAGGCAAAUAUACAGAGAUAGAAAGAUUAGUGGUUGCCUAUGGGGAGGGGCUUGGGGAGUGGUAUCUAAAUGGUGCAGUUUCUUUUGGAGGUAGUGAAAGAGUUCUAAAAAAUGACUGGGAGGCCAGGUGCAUGGCUCAGGCCUGUAAUCCCAGCACUUUUGAAGGCUGAGGCAGGAGGAUUGCUCGAGCCAAGGAGAUCAAGAUCAGCCUAGGCAACAUAGCGAGACCCCAUCUCUAUAAAAAAAAUUAAUUAAAGGAAAAAGAUGAUCAGGGCAGUAAAUACACAAGUCUGUGAUUAUACUAAAACCAUUGAAAUGUAAACUUUUAAUGGGUAAAUUGCAUAGUAUUUGGAUUAUAUCUGAAUAAAGCUGUUUUUAGAAAAAUAC
rnacentral:lncRNA from 1 species